AUCUCCAUUUGUCGUGCCCCAGUAAAGCUGUGGAGCCAAGAUUUAAAACAAGUUCUGUCUACGUUCACAGAGAGACCUUGUUCCCGGCUUCACAAAGAAAGAAUGGCAAAGAAGAAAAAGAAGGAAGAUAGACAUUGCCUGAAUAAGCUCUUGCCCAAGAGAAAUGCUCAGAUGUUUGAAAUUUCAAGGGAAAGGCAUCACCGAUGAAAAAUCCUCCCACACAAUAAGCUGGUAGGAGAGAUUGAUGAAGGUGGGCUUCCGUGAUUCAUCGCCCUUAGCGAUUUAGAGCCCAGCUUGGUAUUCACCGAGAGACACAUCUCUAGUUUAGGAUGCGCUGAGUCAGCUGAUACUUGCUCACACUGCUACUGAGAACGAUGCAUGAAAAAUAAACUGUCUGCAUGUGCCAUUAGUAAUGUGGAGAACAAGCCUGGUAGAAUAAAGAAGAGGCAAAAUCAUCUCCUUAAGUCAUUUUGUUGCUAGUUGAAAUACAAACACUUAGUGUUGAAUGAGGCAGAGCUGUUGACUUAGGGAGGAUGAAGGGUAGACACAUAAACGUCAGUCUCCAAGAAUUUGAAGACUAGGGGGUACCGCCAGAGAUUGUGAGGUCCAGAUCACCCUUCCAGCAGGAAAGCUGAACAUCAUCUCACCUCCCCUACAGGGAGCCUUGGCCAUGGUCAGUACAAUAAGAACCA